CACUGGUAGUCAUCUGU
rnacentral:misc_RNA from 1 species